rnacentral:rRNA from 1 species
AAAGGAAGAAGAUCUAAGAAUGCUUCUUUAAGAAGCUUUCUUGAUGGAGGGGAGUGGCAGACGGGUGAGUAACGCGUGGGAACAUACCCUUUUCUACGUGAUAGCUCUGGGAAACUGGAAUUAAUACCGUAUACGCCCUACGGGGGAAAGAUUUAUCGGGGAAGGAUUGGCCCGCGUUGGAUUAGCUAGUUGGUGGGGUAAAGGCCUACCAAGGCGACGAUCCAUAGCUGGUCUGAGAGGAUGAUCAGCAACAUUGGGACUGAGACACGGCCCAAACUCCUACGGGAGGCAGCAGUGGGGAAUAUUGGACAAUGGGCGCAAGCCUGAUCCAGCCAUGCCGCGUGAGUGAUGAAGGCCUUAGGGUUGUAAAGCUCUUUCAUCGAUGAAGAUAAUGACGGUAGUCGGAGAAGAAGCCCCGGCUAACUUCGUGCCAGCCGCCGCAGUAAGAC